rnacentral:lncRNA from 1 species
CUCCGGCCUCAACCUCUAGCCGCCGAGGAACGGAUCGCAAUCCUGGUUCCCGCGGGGCGGAGACCCGCGCAGCGUUCAGAAGCUGCCGGGGACUCAGGGGGAGGGGGCGAUGUCUUUCCGAAAGCUCCCUGCAGGCUCAGGACCGCGAGGUGUGAUACAAUUCAGAAAAUAAUUUGUAAUUAAGAAAAAUCAGACAAGAUGGAGAACAAGAACAAAUGUGGAGAUGACUUCCAGAGGCAAGAAAAAACACUUCACAGAAGAAUGUUUUCUUUCAGGUGAGAGUUCAUGCUUGUGGGUUUGACUCAAAGACAUCUCCCAAAGGACAAGGAAAUGUAUGUACAAUUUUCUUUCCACAAUAACUAGUACAACAUGAUUAGGUAGUAGCCAGAUGAUGGCAAACUAUGUUUGAAACAAAAAGAAUAAUUCUGCAUUAGUAAAACAAACUGCCAAGUCCAAAAUUGUAGACCAAAAUACAAUAACUAAAUCUAUCUUUUAAGAAUAUUUGAAAAAGUCAAGUGACUCUUGAAAAGAGAAGAGAUAAAAAACAAAAGACAGAGUAUCUAUCAAAAUGUUUAUAUAAAAUGGCAUGAAAGACAGUAGGCCUAGUGGUAUCUCAGAAAAUAAGUUGUCAAGGUCAUUUCUACUAAGGAAACAGAGAUUUCAGAAACUUUUGAUUGCUUAGAUAUUGGCAAUUUCGUAUAGAUUGUUAGGCAGAAAAAGAGAAGAGUUGAAAGAAAAUUAUUUGUUAGAUUGUAAGUUUACACCAGAUUCACCAUGUAUUUGCUAAAUGUUUCAGUUUGAGAAUUAAGAUGCUUUGAGAAAUUGCAACAACCUUAUUACCUUAUCAUUGGAUCAAGUCCAAACAGCCCCAAUCAAAAGUCUAAGGUUUCAUUGUCUGACCUAGUUAUUUCCAGCAUAGUAAUAACGGACUUAAUUGUAUUUAAUGUAUUUUACAAAACCAUUAUACGAAGCCAGGAAUAUCAUAGAUAAAACGGACUGCAGUUGAUUUGGAGAAACUAAGUUAUGUAGUAUGAGUAUAGCAUGUGUGAGUAUACCACGUUCACUUACAAAUGUCAUCCUCUGGUCACUUGACAAUCAUGCUCUGCUUCAUGAAGCGUUUCAUGGAGUAAAAGCAAGCAAGGAGGCAAGGACUGUGAUUUUUGAUGCAAAUAUGCCCAGAAAAAGUCACAUAUAGGAACUUACAUAUUUAAUGGUGGUGUUGAUGAAGGUGACAAGAUACAUUAUAAUACUUUAUUCCAAAGGCAGCACAUGGUACAAAAUCCUGCUGGAGACUGUACUACAAUAGUGGCCUUUGGAAACAAGAAAUUUGAUGAUGAUCAUGACCAUGUUGAUCAGUUCUGAAGACAACAAAAUGCCUUCACUUCUUAGCAUAGACCAUCUGGUUUUCAUUUCUUUUGAAAGUGAAAACGCCAUCUUUAUGAAAAUAGUUCAACAGGUGUGUUGUUUUUUACUUCUAUCUUGUUUUCCCCUUAUUUUCUCAGCAGGACAAGUGAUUUCAUUCCUGAAGCAGGAAAAGAAUGUUAAGAUACAUGCCACUAGAAAUGACAAUGUCAAACACUGACAGAGUCGUUUCAAGCUCAGAAUGAAUCACUUUUAAGACAGUACAGUUUGGCUUGUUUCUUUUGGGGCCAUAAGACUUUUAAUACUUCUUUCAUUGAGAUAAGAUGAGAGUAAACAUUCGACAGAGAAAUAGUAAGAAAUAUUUAAAUUAAUUCUUCUAAACAUAAAUGCUGGGAUUAAAACAAUAAGUUUGGCCGGGUGCAGUGGC